rnacentral:rRNA from 1 species
GUUGAACGCUGGCGGCAUGCCUUACACAUGCAAGUCGAACGGUAACAGGUCUUCGGAUGCUGACGAGUGGCGAACGGGUGAGUAAUGCAUCGGAACGUGCCCAGUAGUGGGGGAUAGCCCGGCGAAAGCCGGAUUAAUACCGCAUACGACCUGAGGGUGAAGGGGGGGAUCGCAAGACCUCUCGCUAUUGGAGCGGCCGAUGUCAGAUUAGCUAGGUGGUGGGGUAAAGGCCUACCAAGGGACCGAUCUGUAGUUGGACUGAGAGGACGACCGACCACACUGGGACUGAGACACGGCCCAGACUCCUACGGGAGGCAGCAGUGGGGAAUUUUGGACAAUGGGCGCAAGCCUGAUCCAGCAAUGCCGCGUGCAGGAAGAAGGCCUUCGGGUUGUAAACUGCUUUUGUCAGGGAAGAAAUCUUCUGGGUUAAUACCUCGGGAGGAUGACGGUACCUGAAGAAUAAGCACCGGCUAACUACGUGCCAGCCGCCGCCGUAA